GAUUUCUAUCUAUCAAUGACCUAAACUAUAGACAAUUUGGUUGUGUUGUCAUUUGUAUUAUGCUCUUUUGCAAAUGAUGUCUUUUGAAUGGUUCAAAUACUACUACUAGUUGCCACUGAAUGAAUCUUUGUUGUGAAUCUUGAGGAUGAAAAAUUGAUAACAUAUGUUCUUUUACCACCAAUGCUCUUUUGCUGCCUGCAUCUUCUCCCUUUCAAAACUUGGAUGUCUUAUUCUGGCUCCUGCUUAUUCCCAAGCAAGCAGAAAUAAACUCUCUUUUUGUUUCUGUAA
rnacentral:lncRNA from 1 species